UCCGGCUUGUCGCCGGCGGUCCCUUUAGAGUGCCCAACUGAAUGAUGGCAACUAAAGGCGAGGGUUGCGCUCGUUGCGGGACUUAACCCAACAUCUCACGACACGAGCUGACGACAGCCAUGCAGCGCCUGUGCUGGUGUUCCGAAGAGGGGCCCUCGUUUCUGAGGGCUUUCCCAUGCAUGUCAAGCCUAGGUAAGGUUCUUCGCGUUGCGUCGAAUUAAACCACAUGCUCCACCGCUUGUGCGGGCCCCCGUCAAUUCCUUUGAGUUUAAGCCUUGCGGCCGUACUCCCCAGGCGGCCAACUUCACGCGUUAGCUUCGUUACCAAGGAAUUACUUCCCCGACAACUAGUUGACAUCGUUUAGGGCGUGGACUAC
rnacentral:misc_RNA from 1 species